rnacentral:tRNA from 1 species
GCGUGUCUUUACACAGCCACCAAGGUAGAGAGCACUCCACUGAAAAAGGAGAGGUCGUUGGUUCAAAUCCAACCGGCCCUCACCA